GAUGAACGCUGGCGGCGUGCUUAACACAUGCAAGUCGAACGAGGUUAUUACAGCGGAAGUUUUCGGAUGGAAGCAGUUUUAACCGAGUGGCGGACGGGUGAGUAACGCGUGGGGAACCUGCCCCAUUCCGGGGGAUACCAGUUGGAAACGACUGUUAAUACCGCAUAAGCGCACGGUAUCGCAUGAUACAGUGUAGAAAAACUCCGGUGGAAUGGGAUGGCCCCGCGUCUGAUUAGGCAGUUGGCGGGGUAACGGCCCACCAAACCGACGAUCAGUAGCCGGCCUGAGAGGGCGGACGGCCACAUUGGGACUGAGACACGGCCCAGACUCC
rnacentral:rRNA from 1 species